CACUGACAUUAGAUACCCCGGUAGUCCCAGCCGUAAACAAUGUGCGUUAGGUGUGUCGGUAACCACGUGUUACUGAUGCGCCGAAGAGAAAUCGUGAAACGCACCACCUGGGAAGUACGGUCGCAAGGCUGAAACUUAAAGGAAUUGGCGGGGAGCACCACAACAGGUGGAGCCUGCGGUUUAAUUGGAUUCAACGCCGGACAUCUCACCGGAUAAGACAGCUGAAUGAUUGUCAAUCUGAAGGUUUUACAUGACUAGCUG
rnacentral:rRNA from 1 species